UCAAUUCCCUCCUCAAAUCUCUCAAGUUUUUGGUGGAAAUUUUAUCGAGAAACUGCUCUUUCUUCGACGACAAUUCUGCUCUUACAAGACAACACAAUUCUGCAGCAAACUUCCACUGAUUUCUAUCAAACCUUUGCUGCCAUCUACCACAGAUCUAAAACUAUCAUCCACAUCCCUAAAACUCCACCAAACCACACUCUCAAACUGCACCCAAAACAGCCACAAAACAAGCCUAAACUGCAGCCUACAUCCACCAAUCCACCAACCCUUUCAACCAUCACUUCUCUCAACCUAUACAUGCCUUUAACCUG
rnacentral:lncRNA from 1 species